GGGCUUGGGUCUCUCUGCCCUUCCUGGGUGCAAGGCCAGAUGCUACAGGGAACAAGUGGAAAAUCGUGAGUAAGUUGUGAGGCAGAAGACUAUGAGAUCAUCCAGCACAGAGAGAAUGGCCGUCUUGACUAAGAUCGCUGGCGCCCUGUGGUCAGAUGGUUAACGGAGGGGGCUGAAGAGAUGGCUCAGCGGUUAAGAGUGCUCUUGAAGAUGGCCUGAAUUCUGUUCGAGGAACCCAUGGCCCACGGAGAUCCGAUGCCUCUGGCCUCCGAGGGUACUGAGCACACAUGCAUAUACCCACACAAAGACACAUAGUUAAAAGUAAACUAAGUAUGUUUUAGGCUGAUUGAAACUGUUAAGGGAAAGGCAGUCUGGUACAUAUCUGUAAUCCUAACAUCUGGAAGGGUUAGGUCAGAAGAAUUUGAGUAUGAGACCAGCCCUAGGCUACACCGCAAGUCCUAGGUUAGUCCAAAUGUGUUAUAAGAUCCUGUCACAGUUGUUAGAAGUAUUAAGCAAAAUUAAGUAAUAAACUAAAACAUACAUUGUUCAGUGUCUACACGUAUUGCCAGGAUGCCCUUAUGCCAAAUGCUUGGCUGUUCAAGUCCCUUAUUUACAAGGCUGUAGUAUUUGCCCAGAAUCUAGCUAUGUCUGCUGUAGAUUUAAAAUCACCCUCAGAGUACCAGUAAUAUUCAAUACAGUGGAAAUGUCAGAUAAAUAGUCAUUAUUCUGUACAGCUAUCCUGGCAAUUGUGUCCACCCAGAGAGCCAUGAAUCCUGCCCAAUACAUUUGUAGAAGACGUCGUCACGUUGCAAGCUUCAGAGGUCAGACAGCUUCAGGAGAUUGCGCCCUCCCUAACUUCUGUGAAGUGGAUGAACUCUCCUCCUACACGGAGCCAGCAGGUGCAGAGGGAUGACUGUGUAUGCAAUAUCUUUUAUAACAGCAUAUAUUUAUAUUAAUAUAGAUGAUAAGGCUAUUGGCAGUAUCUCUCCUUCCUAUUGCUUUAUUUUAUUUUUGGUUAUGUGUGUGUGUGUGUGUGUGCACACACACGCACUUGCACCUGUAGUGCCUUCGGAGGUCAGAAGAGGACAUUGGGUCCCCUGGAACUGAAGUUUCAGGCCUUUGUGAACCGCUCACCAUCGGUGAUGGGGGCGGAACUCGGUCCCUCUGCAGAGCAGGAGGAGUCCUUAGCCUCUGCAUCACCUGUCCAGCGCCCUCAUGUUGCUUUUUGUGGGUCGUUUGACCCAGGGUGACCCAGAGCCACCUGGGAUGGGCUGUGGUUUCUCAGCACUGUGGGUGUUCUUACUUAAUGCGGAAAAAUCAACCCUCCGUGUGGUCCCUGAGUAUCCCAACAUUUUCAGGAAUGCAAUGAGAGCAGAGUCGGAGCCAUGGGAUUUAGCGAAGCAAGGAGGAUGGGUCAAAGGGUCCGAGCCGGUGACUGAAAAGCUGUGUCCUCCUGGUCAAAAGAAUGGAAUCUACCUCUGGCCUUGGGUGGAGACAAGACAUUCUGAUCUGCUCCAAAGAUUAGAACUUGGCAUACAUACCAUUGUCUAUCUGGGUUGCUUUUGCCGCUGUCACUCUGACCAAAAGUGACUUAGGGGAGGAGACGGGUUAUUCCAGCUUUCAGUUCAGCACUGAAGGAAGUCAAAGCAGGAAGCUGAAGCAGAAACCAUGGAAGGACACUGCUUGCCUGACUCGUUCAGUCUCGUUCUCAGCUGCCUCCCUGUGCAAACAGGGGUCACCUGCCCAGGGAACGGGGUCACCCACAAACGCACUGAGCUCCCUGGCACCAUUAAGCAGCCAGGACAGUUCUCCACAGACACGCCCACAGUCCGACCUCAGCUGGGAUUCCAUUCUCAGGUUCCAGGCUGCAGUCGAGUUGACAGUUAAGGCUAACUGGCACAGUUCCCUCAAGGGUUAAUCCGGCUGGGCCUGUCAAUCACCCGGCCGGAUCAUCCCUCAAAAAGGCGAUCCGCUAAAGCCAUGCUGAGGAGAUGGGGAGGAAUAAUUAUCCCCUUAAUGCGGUAGUGUGCUUAUCCUUCGCUGAGGAUAAGACGCUCGAAAGGCUUUCGUCUUUGUAGUCCUGCAGCCUAACAGUUUUUCUGAGUCGCCCUCCCUCAAAAGCGCGCUUUGUCCUUUCCUCAAAAUCUUUUCCGUUCACGUGCUUGCCGAAAAUCCCAAGCAUGCUGGCACUCCGGGCUUCUUCCGCCCUUUCUCUGAAGCGCCCCUGCCUCUUCUCCCAUGCAGAUGCUCACAGACCUCCAUUGCCAAAGAGGUGGCUCUCUCGGGCCCUCUUCCCCAUCCCCUUCCUCCGGCGGCUGCGGGAGAUCAACGGCUUGCCUGACCUGAUGUUUGUUGCCUAGCCUCUACUAAAACUGCCCUCGAACUUCCUAGGGUGACUUGAAAAUAAAAAUGCCCCCCACCCCCUUAGACUCAUAGGGAGUGGCACUACUAGGAGGUGUGGUCUUGUAGGAGUGGGUGUGGUCUUGCUGGAGGGGUGUGGCCUUGCUGGAGGGGGUGUGUCUUUGAGGUCUCAGAUGCUCAAGCCGGUUCACUUCCUGCUGCCUGCUGAUGCCGAUGUAGAAUCCUCAGCCUCCUGUCCCGCAUCAUGACUAAUUGCGUGCCGCCAUGAUGACGAUGGACCAAACCUCCGAACUGUAAGCCAGCCCCAAGAAAAUGCUGUCUCUUCACAGCAAUAAAACCCUAAUAUGACGUUUC